rnacentral:lncRNA from 1 species
UUCCCUGAUCAGCUUGCUGAAUACAAUAUGGUAUUAAAGCUCGACAUAUAGAUAUUUUUGUGUAUGGGUUAAUACACUUUGGUGCUUGUAUUAAUGUCAUAAGAAAUCUGAGACAAAGUCAACUUAUUUGAAUCAAAUGUACCUGGAUGACUUUAAGGAGAAUCUGAAAGUAAACACGUUUAGUUUGCAAAAGAAAUUAAGGGAGCUUGGAGUGGAUAUCAAUUUGUCUCAGUUUAUCGAGCCAAAAAGAAAUCAAAUGAUAUUAUAAAAGGUGAUAGGAAAAAAAAAUGCAAAACUGUGAGAUUAUUAUGGGAUAAUUAAACUGACAAAUCCAAGCACUGCAGAAAUGCAAGUAGAGAAUGUUGUGGCAAUUAACGAGUCAAAACCAAGAAAAAGAAAAGAAAAGUGAAAGAAGCAACAAUCAAUAAACAAUUAAGGUGAUUUGGAAGGAAAUAAUAAUUUUUAGAAGGUCGUAUACAAUGUUCAAAGCACCAAAAAAUACUUCUUCGCAGGAUUUACACCUUUUAUAGGCUUAAAUGGAUGCCAUUUGUUUGGAGAAAUGGGUUGACAGAAAUGGGUUGACAGCUUCUUACAGCAUUACUAAGGGAGAGUAACAACUUUUUUCCACUUGUUGGUGUGUUGAUAUAGACGAAAAGGACAAUUGGUAUUGGUUCAUGCGACAACUGUUGGAAAAUAGGUGGUUCUAUAUGGUAAGGAUUAUUUCCAAAGAACAAAAGACAAAUAUUUUUCUUGUUAUUAGUAUUAUAUAUCAACUUUAAUUGUUAAUUUGUUUUUCGUUCCGUUUUGUUUUUGUUAAAGUUCUAGCUAUAGAACAUGAGAUUUGAGUGUCAUUUCCUUAUAGGCAUGUUAUUUCUGCCAUUUACCAGUAUAAGGAGACACCUAAGGAAAUAUGCACAUGAGUUCAGGAGACUUGUGUGAAGACAUAUUUCAUGAAUCCAAUGCUUAGUAGUGAUGAGCGGGUAAGUAUUGGAAUGCUAAGAUUGAUUCUCUCAUAGUGAAAAGACCAGGUAGAAGGCCAAAAAAAAAGCAAGGAAGACAGCUGCUGAUGGACCAAGAAACCCCAACAAGGUUUCUACAAUAAAUAUUCCAAUCAAGUGUGAGAAGUACAGAAAAGUGUGGUGCAAUUCUGGAUCAUGCAAGGAAUAUUAACUAAAAAAUCAUUAUGUAGAAAACGGUGAGGUUCUUAGAACAAGAAAUUGAAAUAUGGGCAACUAUUAUUGGGAGACAAAAUGUGGUAAAUUACUCUAUUUAUGAACUAAAUUUUCUUUUUGUUGUAAUUUAUUCAACAUUCAUGUAUCAUAACUGCGUAUAUGUGCAGAGAAGGACAACAAAAAGUCAAACUACCACCGAUGAUGGAGAAUCUUUGUCUGGUUACAAUAAUGUAAGCUACGAAUUCACUCAUAUAAUGUAUUUGACUCAUACAGUAUUCUCCUAGUUCAAGUAUAUUUUGUUUUCUAAUAGGAACAAAGAGACUCAAUUUCUUAUCCAAUAUCUUCUUAUAACUAACAGAACGUCAAAUUUAAGGACAGGAAAUGGCAUGCAUGGGAGUGAACCCAGGUUGCCUGCCACAACAGAAUCAAAAGAAACAAAUAGCAACAGAUAAAAUCAUAUCAAUUCAACAAAUCAGAGAGUACUUGC